GUGUGGCUGUGCAUGGCUCUCUAAUGUCCUGGCUCGACGGGCUCCAUAUAUUAUUUACCUGUUACAGAAAAUACAUUAGCUCUGUCUAUGGUUAUAUUGCCCUGAAUGUGCCAGAUCUCCUGAAGUUAAAACAGGGGUGGGCCUGCUUAGUAUCUGCACGUGAGGAUUUUCUCACAGCUGUUUGAUUGACAGUUGUUUUCCUCUCCCUUCCUUUUCCCCUUCUCUCCCUCCUCUUUCUCCUCAUCCCCUUUCUUCCUCCUGGUUGGAGAUAAGGUCUCGUGUCUGCCAGGUUGGCUUCAAUAACGUUGACCUCACGGCCCCCCUGCUUCAACCUCCUGAGUGUUAGGGUUGCAGGUUGCACGCUCACACCUGGCUCAAUGCAGCACUCAGGAUGGAAGCAGGGCUCGGUGCCUGCUAGGCAAGGGCUCUACUAAUGGAUCUAUGUCCCCAGCCCUGACUGACCAGUUUACUAGUGUGGAUGGAUAAUCCAACUGGGGAUUUCUCAGAGCCAGUCUGAGAGGAAAAGGGAGUUUAAGUCAUUUAUUUGGGAGGUGAUUUGGGGAUGAGACUGGAGAUGGAAUAGCAGGGGUGUCUUAGGUAGGAUUUUUACAGCUGUGAAGGGACACCAUGGCCAUGGUCACUCUUAUAAAGAAAGCAUUUAAUUGGGGUGGUUUACAUACAGUUCAGAGCUUCAGUCCAUUAUCAACAUGGUGGGGGCAUAGCGGAGUGCAGGCAGGCAGGCAUCUUCAUUAGUAGGCAACAGGAAGUAAACUCUGUCACACUAAGUGAAGCUGGAGCAAAAGAGACUUCAAAGCCCACCCCACAGUGACACACUUCCUCCAACAAGGCCACAUCUCCUAAUAGAGCCAUACCGUCACAGUGUGUAAAUAAGCAGAUGGCCACUGUGGCCUUACUGGAAGCCUCUUGGUGACUGUUUAGCUAUUCUGUGGAGUUGCCAAGGGCUAGGCAGUGGGCUGUGCAUUCCCUAUUUGGCCUGUUGUUGAUAAAAAUGCUCAGGGGUCCCCGAUACCCUACAUCUUUGUCUGACCAGUGUACCAACUGUGUGGUCUUGAGCACCAGAAGAGCCCCCAGGCUUAGAGCUUCAGGCCCUGGUGCAGGGACAGAAGGGAAAAGGGAGAUUGGGGUAUUGGGGGUAUCUGUCUGCCUGAUGUCUAGAAUCUAGCAGAGGAGAGAGCCCUGGCCUGGCACCACACAUCCGCUUUGCUCUGUUGCACUAGACACACUGUCCAGCUUUUCUGACAGCUGCAGUUCUUGUCCAGAACGGUCCCCCGAGGGCUUUCUAAAGAGUGCCAUGAGCUAGUUGGAUCGCCCAGAUCACUCAAGAUUUCUCAAUGCCUCCAUUCCAAAAAAGCCUGGGAGCGGCUUGGACUGUCUGUAAGUAGAACACACUGGUCACUUUAGUAAAGUUGGGUAUUCUUACAUUUCCUUCCCAAGUCAAGCUGGUUGGGUGGACAGUAAAUGCGUAGUCUAGAUGUCUGGAUGUUGCUUGGGCUCAGAGAGACCUCUCUGGUGUCUAGUCAUCGUUACAAUGUAGGUAAUAUGUGCUCUUUCCUGCCUAAGCUAUCCCCCUUUCAGGGCCUGUCAGACCCUCUCCAACCUUUGAGAUCCCAGAGUCAAGGUCAAAGUGUAGCCAGCUUUCGAUCUCUCACCCAGUCUUGUCCUUGUCCCACAGUGGUACAGGGGACACACUAGGGCAGAGGGACUGUUGUGAGGGUUGGCCUCUUCCCCUGGUGGGCAGAUCCCAGCACUACUGUGAAGAAAAUGGCCUGUCUCCACUCAGCGCCUUAAUUCUGGGGGAGGGGCAGUGCGGACCCAGAGCCUUAAGUGCACUCAAGUCUGAGUUUGCAGAUGUUUCCCAGAUGUUUUUCAUUUUUCUGCAGGGGCCUGAAGAGGAAACGGGCUUCAUCGGCAGCACCAGGGGAGGGCAAUGCAUUGCUUCAUAGACAGCAUGGGCUUCUUUAAGGACAUAAGGCCUCAGCCCCUGCAAGAGGGCUCAGAAAACACCAGGGGGGUUGACAUCAGACCUUGUGGCUUGGCAGGGAACCCAAGUGCGUCUUUCCCCAGUACUGUCUUUAGGAUUUCUUGUCCUCUCUGUCACCCUGCCAAGUGCCCCGCAGUCCUAACCCCCACAGCACAGGUCUUGCACCUUAAGGGUGGCAGUGUGGAGUGUGCAGUGCAUAGCUCUGGCAGAUCUGGGUGGGUCUGGAGGGGUUGUGUGGGGCCAACCAGGAGGAGAAGAAAUUAUUGGGGGCUGCAAAGGGCUAUCCUAGGCCUAGGGGAAUUGAGUUUUCUUCUGCAGUCCUAGUGACUCCCAUGGGCUAUCACACUCACUGCUCUUGAAUGCUCCCACAGCUUUUCAGGGUGAGUAUGAACAUGGACUCAAUCUGCAGAAACCAUCAGUGGACGUCAGAUGGUACCAUAGAGACUAUUCCUGGAGAAUAUUCUCUUCCCCAGAAAAUGAAUCAAAAGUUACACCGCAUCUUAUUCAAAUUUAACUCCAAACAGAACCUAUCAUUAAAUGUAAAACUCAAACCCAUUAGUUGGUGGGAAUUAAACACAGGGCAAAGCAAAGUCUCUGGGACCCAGAACCAGAUGAAGAGCCCUUGUCUGGGACACCAAGGCAUACUCAACUAUUUCUCUCAUCCAUUGUGUAUAGUCUCCACCCCUCAGCAAAGCCACGCUGAGGGCUCAGUCCUCACCUGCUCAUGCCCUUCUCUCAGGACAUGGAGCAGGGCCGGAGUGUAGCAUCUUGCCAUUACACACUGGUGAACCAAUGCUGGAGCUGAAUGCCACUCAGACGAUACCGUGGGGUUUGGCAUCAAAGGAAUGAACUUGACCAUUGUCUAAGCGAAGGCGGGAUAGUGUCUGCUGGCUGAGGGCUCUGAGGAGAGGCUGAUGAGGCCAGCAGGCCUUGCCUUGCAAUGGGCAAAGGCCCCUCUGGCCUGCCCCACUCAGCUUUUGCCACCUCUUGAAGCCAUCCUCCUGGCAGCACUGCAGUGGCUCUGGCUGGAAGAGCAGAGCAGCGAGCACUAGCAUUUCCUGAAAAUCUGUUUUCAUGAUCUUUGGCGGAAAUGUAACUUAGGGGAAUUUUCUGUGGGGGUUGGGAAAUGGAUGAGAUGUCAACGAUUCCAUGCAAGUCUCGGCUCCACGUGGGUUUCUCCCAGGCACACUGAGAAUGAGAAAUGUCUCUCCAGCCCCGUCUUGGCUCCUUUGCUCAUCCCUCCUCCCUCUCCACAACUGAAUUCCAGUAGUAUGGCUCAAUGCUGAAGUAAAGAGAGAGAAGCCCCCCCUCCAAUGAUAUGACAGACUUUGAAGGUCCUUGGUAGAGGGCCUCACUAUCCCUGAGGAGGAGUCCGGGGGGGGGGCAGUUUAAAUGAGCUACCUACGAGCCCUGGCUGUGUAUGUACCUAAGAGACCCGUAUGAUUCAUCUUGGCUACACCUUGAAGUCUCUGGCAACAAUCUUGCAUCGAUAUUGAACUUUCUUUCACUACAGCUGAAUUCUGCAUUGUUAGCUCAAAAUGAGGGUUCAUGACUUCUUGUUAAAUCUCUUUCGGACACCCAUAAUUAAGGAAUUAUUUGACUUGGAAAGCUUAGCAGGUACCAAAAAAAAGAAAAUAAAAAUGACCAAAACCUUUGGGGAAUCUUGAAAUUGUCCAGCAUCCAUCCUAGAUUUUUAGGUUAGAGUCCAUGGCUCCUGAGGCACUACCUGAAGCAUCCAGGCUACUUUCUUUCCCUGUGUGCUUCCUUAGAAGUCAAGGAAGCACGGAAGCUCGGCAGGACAAUUGGUCUUAGACAUUAAUCUUGUGUACCAGGCCUGCAUAGCUUGCAAAUGUCAUUGUGUCCUGGCAACUACAAUUGUAUUCAUUCUGGAAACUGCCACUAUAUUCUGUUUCUGAUAAGGUAUAAAAAGUCUGGGGACUUGGAGAGUUGGCUCAGUGGUUAAGAGCACUUGUUCCCGUGAAGACCAGGUUCAAUUCCCAGCACCCACAUGGAGGCUCAGCACUUCCUCAGGCAGCAGGCAUUCACGGGGUACACAGACAUAUAUGCACAGGCAAAGCACUCAUUUGACUAAAAAAUAUCUAAAUAAAUAUGUAUGUGUACAUACACAUUUUUUUUUAAAGUCUGAUGGCUUUCAAUAAAAUUGUCACAACUCUGUCUUGCUGUGGCCCCUCCAACCUGAGCCUGGGGUAAUUUUUCCCCAGCCCUAUAAGGUAACCUUGGCCCAGUACUAGCUUGGGUGCUUAUAAAACCCCCAAACAAAUAAACACACAGUUUUGUAUAUCGAAAACCCUUGGCCAACAAGAAUGAAGCUGCUAGCCUCCCCAUGGGUUCACAUGGCCAUUUUAUAAGACAACUUGAUUAAAAAGGAUUUAUUUUUAACUAUGUGUAUGUGUAUGUAUGUCUAUGCCAGAGUGUGUUCAUGUCAGUGCAGAUGUUGGAGGGGACCAGAGUGUCAGAGUUCCUGGAGCUGCAGUUAUAGGUAGUUUGAGCUGCCCAUUGUGGGCGCUGGGCCUCGAACUCAGGUCCUCUCCAAGAGCAGCACAUGCUCUUGAUUCCUGAACCAUUUCUUCCAUCCCUUCACCUCAAAUUCUUAAGAUAAAAAUGAUUUUUUUGGUGAUAGUAAUCAAGGAAAAGUCUGCAUGUUUCAUAUUCUAACAUGAUGAGUUAAGGUUUCCUUAG
rnacentral:lncRNA from 1 species